rnacentral:rRNA from 1 species
UUAGAGUUUGAUCCUGGCUCAGGAUGAACGCUAGCGGCAGGCUUAACACAUGCAAGUCGAGGGGCAGCGAGAGUGAUAGCAAUAUUACUUGUCGGCGACCGGCGCACGGGUGCGUAACGCGUAUGCAACCUACCAUCAACAGGGGGAUAACACUGAGAAAUCGGUACUAAUACCCCAUAAUAUCUCAUGCGGCAUCGCAUGGGGUUGAAAACUCCGGUGGUUGAUGAUGGGCAUGCGUUGUAUUAGCUGGUUGGUGAGGUAACGGCUCACCAAGGCGACGAUACAUAGGGGGACUGAGAGGUUAACCCCCCACAUUGGUACUGAGACACGGACCAAACUCCUACGGGAGGCAGCAGUGAGGAAUAUUGGUCAAUGGACGCAAGUCUGAACCAGCCAUGCCGCGUGCAGGAUGACGGCUCUAUGAGUUGUAAACUGCUUUUGUACGAGGGUAAACCCCGAUACGUGUAUCGGGUUGAAAGUAUCGUACGAAUAAGGAUCGGCUAACUCCGUGCCAGCAGCCGCGGUAAUACGGAGGAUCCGAGCGUUAUCCGGAUUUAUUGGGUUUAAAGGGUGCGUAGGCGGUUUGAUAAGUUAGAGGUGAAAUGUCGGGGCUCAACCCCGAAACUGCCUCUAAUACUGUUGGACUAGAGAAUAGUUGCGGUAGGCGGAAUGUAUGGUGUAGCGGUGAAAUGCUUAGAGAUCAUACAGAACACCGAUUGCGAAGGCAGCUUACCAAACUAUAUCUGACGUUGAGGCACGAAAGCGUGGGUAGCAAACAGGAUUAGAUACCCUGGUAGUCCACGCAGUAAACGAUGAUAACUGGUGUCGGGCGAUACACAGUCGGGUGACUAAGCGAAAGCGGAUAAGUUUAUCCACCUGGGGAGUACGUUCGCAAGAAUGAAACUCAAAGGAAUUGACGGGGGGCCCGCACAAGCGGAGGAACAUGUGGUUUAAUUCGAUGAUACGCGAGGAACCUUACCCGGGCUUGAAAGUUAGCGACGACGCUUGAAAGAGCGUUUCCCUUCGGGGCGCGAAACUAGGUGCUGCAUGGUUGUAGUCAGCUCGUGCCGUGAGGUGUCGGGUUAAGUCCCAUAACGAGCGCAACCCCUACUGUUAGUUGCCAUCAGGUGAUGCUGGGCACUCUAGCGGGACUGCCGGUGUAAGCCGAGAGGAAGGUGGGGAUGACGUCAAAUCAGCACGGCCCUUACGUCCGGGGCCACACACGUGUUACAAUGGUAGGUACAGAGGGCAGCUACCCUGCGAAGGGGUGCGAAUCUCGAAAGCCUAUCUCAGUUCGGAUUGGAGGCUGAAACCCGCCUCCAUGAAGUUGGAUUCGCUAGUAAUCGCGCAUCAGCCAUGGCGCGGUGAAUACGUUCCCGGGCCUUGCACUCACCGCCCGUCA